rnacentral:lncRNA from 1 species
AAUUGGGAAAAAUCCAAUUGGAAAAACAAUUUAAUCCUUUAAGACUAUAAUUCCUUAUAGACUUAGGACAACUUAUCAUGGGGCUGGAAAAAGCCUAAUAAGGAUAUAUAUAUACAUAUAUAUGUAUAUUGUUAGCUAAUAUAGGAUAAGUAGGUAUGAAAUCAUCCCUUUUUUCUAGCCUUUUCAACAACAUAUAAAGCUAUAGUCCCCAAGCCAUCAAAUAAAGCUAGAACGCUCUCUAUCAUACUACCAAAGACAAUGCACCAACUACUAUUCUAGGCAUAUCCAUCCCUCACUAAUCUCUGGCCCGUUUAAUAAUAAAAAAAAAAAUCACCCACAGUAAAAACCGAAACAGCUAAAUUAAACCCAAAAAUUAAUCAUCAUCAUCCAUUUGUAUUGCUGAGAAAUGUUUAGCCCUUUAAUUAAAACACCAAAAAAAAAAAAAUUCCUCACCCACAGUAAAAAACCGAAACAUGCAAAGCAAAACCCAAAAAUUAAUCAUCAGUAUUACUCUUUUUUUUUUCUUAAGUUUGAGGAAAAAAUCGAAGCACAAACAAUCAAAAAACCCACAACAACAACAACAAAACAACAACAAAGCAUUUUCCCACUAAGUGGGGUCAGCUAACAAACAAU